AUUUUAAACUAUUUUCUGUAGCAAAACAAGUUAAAAUAUUUUGAGAAAAAUAAAUUUAAAUAAGACUAUCUUGAGAAAGCUGGAGUUCAUAAUAUUCCCCCCACCCUCCCCAGUCUCCUAGGUUUCCCUUUUCUGUGAUUUUUCGGGUUUUUUUGUUUGUUUCUUGAGACAGAGUCUUGCUCCAUCGCCCAGGCUAGAAUGCAGUGGCGCAUCUCGGCUCACUGCAACCUCUGCCUCCCGGGUUCAAGCGAUUCUUUUGCCUCAGCCUCCCAAGUAUCUGGGACUACAGGCAUGCGCCACCAUGCCUGGCUAAUUUUCUUGUAUUUUUAGUAGAGAUGACGUUUCACCUUGUUGGUCAGGCUGGUCUCGAACUCCUGACCUCAACUCCUACACCUCAUCUAUGGUGUAUUUUUGAAAGACAAUUUUUUAAAGGUAGAUUUUGGAAAAAAAAUAGAAUUGAAGAUGGGAAAUUUUGUUUUAUUAAAAAGGUGCUAGAAGGUAUUUCAAAGACAAUAUUCUUAUUUUAAUACGCUGUAGAAGGUAGGUGUGGAACCUCCAUGCUACCAUGUGCACGAACCUAAUUAUGCUUUCGGCCACUUGUCAGUUCAGUAAGUCUGCCUUCCUCUUCUCCCAAAUCAUGUCAUCUUUAGGUUGUUGACUUGCAGCUGCUUUAAAUGAAUUAGUAUCUUUCAGAUAGAUAACCUUACAAGGAGAAUGUUUGUUUUGAGCAGCUGACCAAAAAUGUAUCAAACAGGAUUAUGGCCAAAAAGUCGCUCAAAUUUCUAGAGGUUCCUUUAAAAGAUGUAUGUUGAUGAAAUUGCCCCUUUCUAAGAAAAACAACAGCAAGUCUUUUAGUAGAAAUUUGAAAGAAGUGUUUGCUACCAUUUUGACCCAUUAUUCCCUUACCUAUCAGAUGAAUUUGCCAUUCACUGGAUGGAAACCAUUCUUGGAUUUGGUAAGAGGUGAGCAACACAAAUCCAGUAUCUUAUUCUUAUGUACCAGCACUUCUGAUGGAGAAGCAGUGAAGUUCAGAACAUUCUUCACGUAGUCCAGAUACUGUUAGAGUCAGGCAAAUCAGCAAAGCACUUACUUGUUUAUGGAGUUGACCCAUGAUGGCUGCAGUUGUAAGUGGGCAUACGUAGUCUAUCAUUUUGAAGGAGAAAGAAAACCAUUCUCACAUGUUGCAAAUAUGUGAAUCAUACUGUAUUUCCCUAAAGUAAAACAUACCGUGACUUAGUGGUUUUUGGUUUAUUUAGAAGUUGGUUUAGACCCUUAUGAAACAUUAUUUACGAGCUGGCCUUAUCCUUAAGGGAAAAGUUCUAAAUUUUUAAAUUUAUUUUUAAAUCCCUAGUCUGAGGGAAAUGUCUUUAUCGUCCAUUACAUAAAAAUGUUGACUCCACUCAUUUAUUUUUCUCCAUUUUUUCCUCCAUGCAUUUAUUCUAUUUUUCUCUAUUUUUUUCUUCCCUGUUGGAUUUGCAGAAAUGUUAACCAAUUAGCUCAACUUUUCUGUACCUUUGUUGAGUCUUAAUCUUUUCGAAGAUAGGCUCCUCGUAUAUUUAUGAAGCAUACUAUAUUAAGAGAAAACAAAUCUAGGAUGCUUGCAUGACAUAAAGUAUUUACCUGCAGUUUUCCUUAAAAACUGCAAGAAUAUCAUGCUUGUCUGCUCCUUAGUAAAUGUUAAGUCUGAAAUGGAAGUGAGGAUGUAACUCUACUGAAUAAUCAAAGAUCAUCUUAGAUUUGGCUUGAUCUGUGUUUAUUGCUUCUAUUAAUGUAAAUCAACUCUGUGCCAAAUCCUCCUCCACAGGAACACAAACCAUUUAUUGUCUUAGUUCUAGUGAUAUCAAUGAAAAUAGUUACAGUAUAUGAAUUCUAAGUCCUGAGGAAGAAAUUUUAUAGGCUUUGUUAAGUUUCACAUUUGUAAAAGAGGAAAUUAGUAUUCAGACUUCGAUAUUUGGCUGUUAAUGGGAUGCAUAUCAAAUUUUUAAAAGAAAGCUUGGCCUAAGGAGUUUAUUGGUACAGGUGCAGAUGAUUUUAAGGCAUUAAAGGAUUAUAGAGUUAUGUCAUUUAGACUGUUUCUAAUAACAGACCAGCUAACAUUUUUCUUUUGGAGUCUCAUUUUUAUUUGUGCAAUAUUUUCAGGCAUAUAGGCUACUGUUCAUUGUAUUUAUAUAUAUAUUAGAAUUUACUAAGUACUUUAACAAGUAAAAAUCUGAAUAUGAAAGAAAAUAUCAGAUUUGCACUUUAAAUGAGCUUAAUUGCUUGGAGUUGUGCCUGAAAUAUCGAAAUGCCUCCUGUUGGGUAUGGCUUUGUUGAAAUAAAUUUGUAAUUGUUGCUGUUUGAAGAUAUCAGUACAGCUGUUCACAGAACUAUAUUCCCAGCAUGUCACUUUUCCCAUUAAAGCACUAAGUUUUCUUUGAAUGUUCCAUUGUCCUGAUAAGUAUUUUACUUUUUUCUCAGUACAUCAAAGAGCGCGUGAUGCCCCUACAGCUGUCACUUCCAAAUGUUCCUAUAGCAUAAAUGGUGUUACAGACACGGGGGUGCAUUCUUGGUUUCUGAGCAGAGUUGUCAUACUGGUUUCCUGGUCUCUAGGGUACUGGGGAUGUACUUUGAAAUCACCGAACAGGCUUGCAAUUAAGAUCAAUAAGACUGCAGCACCAUUUCAAUUUGCUUUCCAUCUUACACAGUAGUUUUUGUGUUUUUAAAUUCGUUUGGGUGGUUAUGUUUGCAUGCUUAUGCACACAUUUGAAAAUUAAUUAUAGCUGUACUACCUGAUGUUUUUCCUUGGGGAUGACGGCCUUGUUACUUUUUAAAUUCUCAUGCUUGAAUUAUGUUUUCUAAUGAUCUUUCACAUCUCCCUUUAAGUUUUUUGCUGCAGCAAUUUGAGAGAAUACUUUUGAUUAAAUGAUUCUGAUGGUGGGCACCAAUCUACAACUGUGUCAUUAACUGAAGAUACAUGUUUUAAUCUUGUUGGGAAUAAGCUCACCCACUUUCUCCUUGGUAAAGCAUUUACUUAACAAAAUAAUACCCUGAGAAUGUAAGGUCUCUAAGUCAUUACUAACAAAGAGCAAAAAUAAUAUCUGCAGUAUUGUUUUUCCUAUUGAUUUUAAAAGUCAGUUUAGAGUACAAACUGUAUAUUAGAAUUUGCUUGUAAAAUGAAUUCUAAAAAACAGAUGUAAAGUGUCUCCUGAAAAUGUUGGCAUAGUAAAUAAAAAUAAAGUUCAUA
rnacentral:lncRNA from 1 species